AACAUGAGAGGAGAAAAUAAGAUACAAGACAAACAUCAAGGGCUUUCAGCAUGCAAUACAGCAAAAGCUCAAUGUUCAAAAAACAGAAGUUGCAAAAUGCAUUAGUAACCACCUCUACUAAGCACCACCCAAAACUGAAGACACUGAAGUGGAGAAAUAAGAUCCUUUUAUCAAAACCUAUUGACCACCACUGAUAUCAGGAGAUCUGCACAACAGAAAUCCGACUUCUGAUGUUGGCAUGGUUUGAGGAUCAGCUAUGGCAGCUGAAGCUUAAAGAUGCAGUAGUAACUGAUGCUUGGAGAGCAUGCCUACAAGUCAGCCCAGAGCCCUUUCACUUGGUUUGGAAGUUCAGCAGGAAAAAGCAAGCAGCUAGAAGUUGCCCUGGUCUUUCUCAAUGGCCAGAAGGAAUCACAAAGAGAGAAAAGGCUGUCACCAAGUCAGCCUUCAGCCUCAGCUCACAACUGUGAUUACAGAAGUCACACAAGAAUUCAACGCAACUAGAGGCAAGAAAAUAAUUCCCACCAACUCUGAUUAUUUUAAAGUAAGGAUCCAGAAACGCCUCCUACAUUUUGAUUGAAUUUCUCACAUUGGACGUAGGAAAUGGAACAGCACCCUGGAAAUUAUCACAAAAGUUACUUCUUGUUGCAGAUUGCAGCACAACUUUACUCAUUUCUUGCUUUUACAGAACAAUAGUUCAGGCUUCAAGAGCAGAUGCCAGGGACUGUCAGUGCAGUAGGAAAACAACAACAUUUUAGAAGAGCUUUCUUACUUGGAGCAAUGAAUCCAUAAUCAACCAUACGUGAAUAAACAUGAGCAGGUAAAUAGAAGGGUUCUGUGACAGCACUUUCAGCCUUUGGAAACUUAUAAAAUAUGGGCGCAGAAAGGAGAGCUGCUAAAUACUAUUGCUAUUUAUAUUUCAAUAUUUUUUGCUUGGUGAGUAAUCUGGAAAAUAACUGUAGAUGUCUGCAGCAUUGUAAUAAACACAUCUGGGCGCCUAAGCCAGGAAUAU
ensembl:lncRNA